CAACGUGGGUAACCUGCCCCGAUGAUUGGGACAACCCGAGGAAACUCGGGCUAAUACCAAAUGUGACUCUGGCCAUCAGGGCCAGAAGGAAAGGAAGCUUCGGCCUCCGCAUUGGGAUGGGCCCGCGGCCCAUUAGCUUGUUGGUGGGGUAAUGGCCUACCAAGGCGACGAUGGGUAGCUGGUCUGAGAGGACGAUCAGCCACACUGGGACUGAGACACGGCCCAG
rnacentral:rRNA from 1 species